CGACCCCAGGCCAGGCGGGAUCACCCGCUGAGUUUAAGCAUAUCAAUAAGCGGAGGAAAAGAAACUAACAAGGAUUCCCUUAGUAACGGCGAGCGAACCGGGAAGAGCCCAGCUUGAAAAUCGGACAUCUUCGGCAUUUGAAUUGUAGUCUGGAGAAGCGUCCUCAGCGACGGACCGGGCCCAAGUUCCCUGGAAAGGGGUGCCAGAGAGGGUGAGAGCCCCGUCGUGCCCGGACCCUGUCGCACCAUGAGGCGCUGUCUACGAGUCGGGUUGUUUGGGAAUGCUGCCCCAAUCGGGCGGUAAAUUCCAUCCAAGGCUAAAUAUGGGCGAGAGACCGAUAGCGAACAAGUACCGCGAGGUAAAGAUGAAAAGGACUUUGAAAAGAGAGUCAAAGAGUGCUUGAAAUUGUCGGGAGGGAAGCGGAUGGGGGCCAGCGAUGCGUCCCGGUCAGAUGCGGAACGGAGCAAUCCGGUCCGCCGAUCGAUUCAGGGCGUGGACCGACGUGGAUUAAGGUGGUGACCUAAGCCCGGGCUUUCGUUAUGCCCGCGGAGACAUCGCUGCCUUAAUCGUGGUCUGCAGUACGCGCCUCACGGCAUGCCUCGGCAUCUGCGUGCUCAGGGCGUCGACCUAUGGGCUCCCCAUUCGAGCCGUCUUGAAACACGGACCAACGAGUCUGACAUGUGUGCGAGUCAACGGGUGAGUAAACCCGUAAGGCGUAAGGAAGCUGAUUGGCUGGAUCCCUCACGGGUGCACAGCCGACCGACCUUGAUCUUCUGAGAAGGGUUCGAGUGUGAGCAUGCCUGUCGGGACCCGAAAGAUGGUGAACUAUGCCUGAGCAGGGCGAAGCCAGAGGAAACUUUGGUGGAGGCCCGCAGCGACACUGACGUGCAAAUCGUUCGUCUGACUUGGGUAUAGGGGCGAAAGACUAAUCGAACCAUCUAGUAGCUGGUUCCCUUCGAAGUUUCCCUCAGGAUAGCUGGAGCUCGGAAACGAGUUCUAUCGGGUAAAGCCAAUGAUUAGAGGCAUCGGGGACGCAACGUCCUCGACCUAUUCUCAAACUUUAAAUAGGUAGGACGGGGUGGCUGCUUUGUUGAGCCAUCCCACGGAAUCGAGAGCUCCAAGUGGGCCAUUUUUAGUAAGCAGAACUGGCGAUGCGGGAUGAAUUGGAAGCCGGGUUACGGUUCCCAACUGCGCGCUAAACUAGAACCCACAAAGGGUGUUGGUCGAUUAAGACAGCAGGACGGUGGUCAUGGAAGUCGAAAUCCGCUAAGGAGUGUUUAACAACUCACCUACCGAAUCAACUAGCCCUGAAAAUGGAUGGCGCUGAAGCGCGCGACCUAUACCCGGCCAUCGGGGCAAGAGCCAGGCCUCGAUGAGUAGGAGGGCGCGGCGGUCGCUGCAAAACCUAGGGCGUGAGCACGGGCGGAGCGGCCGUCGGUGCAGAUCUUAGUGGUAGUAGCAAAUAUUCAAAUGAUGUUAGAAAUAUGAGAGAAGUGUUGCUGUGUAAGUUGUGUCUUUCUCAUUAGCUCUCACUAUCAAUAUAUAGU
rfam:Brassica napus, WGS project CCCW01000000 data, contig: 33070